AGGCAGCAGUAAGGAAUAUUGGUCAAUGGACGCAAGUCUGAACCAGCCAUGCCGCGUGAAGGAUGAAGGUCCUCUGGAUUGUAAACUUCUUUUAUUUGGGAAGAAAUCCAUUUUUUCUAAAGUGGUUGACGGUACCAGAUGAAUAAGCACCGGCUAACUCCGUGCCAGCAGCCGCGGUAAUACGGAGGGUGCAAGCGUUAUCCGGAUUCACUGGGUUUAAAGGGUGCGUAGGUGGGCAGGUAAGUCAGUGGUGAAAUCUCCGGGCUUAACCCGGAAACUGCCAUUGAUACUAUCUGUCUUGAAUACCGUGGAGGUGAGCGGAAUAUGUCAUGUAGCGGUGAAAUGCUUAGAUAUGACAUAGAACACCAAUUGCGAAGGCAGCUCACUACGCGAAUAUUGACACUGAGGCACGAAAGCGUGGGGAUCAAACAGGAUUAGAUACCCUGGUAGUCCACGCCCUAAACGAUGGAUACUCGACAUACGCGAUACACAGUGUGUGUCUGAGCGAAAGCAUUAAGUAUCCCACCUGGGAAGUACGACCGCAAGGUUGAAACUCAAAGGAAUUG
rnacentral:rRNA from 1 species